rnacentral:lncRNA from 1 species
CAGGGGCAAGCGGGGUCCACCCCGGCCCUCCCCGGUCGCGGCGGGUCCUCCCGGCCGCCCGCCCUCGCCUUCUCUCUUCCCCUUUAACUUCCUAGCUUCCCCGCGGCGCCCGGAGCAGGAGCAGGCAGGUUUAUUGAAAAGGAAGCGGAUGCAGACCCCCACUCACCUCGAUCCUAUCCCCGUGGCCCGUCGUCUCCGCCGAGAGGUGGCCCCGGGGCUUCCGCCCGGGCCGGGCGCUCGCGAGGGACUCCCGAGCCGCGGGGACCGCCACGCGGGGCGCCCACCUGUCCGGCGGCGGGCGCGGGGCUGCGCGGGGCUGCGCGGGGCGGGCUGCGCGGGGCGGGGCGGGGCGGCGGCACCUGAGACCGCCGGGGCUUCCGAGCCGAGCGCGCUGCCCCGGGAGCGAACGGCAGCGGGUGUCCCCCGCCGCGCUCCCCAGAGGCCGCCGGGCAGUCGCCUGGGAGAGCGAUGGUCCCCGGGACCUAGGCGUCGGCCCCAUCCUCCUUUGAAAAUUGGAAUAACCUUGAACUUCAUCGAACCUGUUCUCUCAUUUGCACUUGGAGUCUUGAGGAAGGGAUUUGCCCAAAGCUGCACAGUGAGUUGUUGGCAGAGCCAGGUAGGAACUUACUUUAUGUUGUCAACACCUUUUGAAGAACCGGAGAGAGGAACAGAUGCUUUAAAUGCACAUUUAAUGUGGAAUUGA